rnacentral:rRNA from 1 species
AACGCGAAGAACCUUACCUAGGCUUGACAUGCUUGGGAAAGCUUGAUGAAAAUCAGGCCCUCUCUUCGGAGACUUUUGCACAGGUGGUGCAUGGCUGUCGUCAGCUCGUGCCGUGAGGUGUUGGGUUAAGUCCCGCAACGAGCGCAACCCUCGUCCUUAGUUAAUUUUCUAGGGAGACUGCCGGGAGAAACCUGGAGGAAGGUGAGGAUGAUGUCAAGUCAUCAUGCCCUUUAUGCCUAGGGCUACACACAUGCUACAAUGCCGCGUACAACGGGUCGCGACUUCGCGAGAAGAAGCUAAUCCCUUAAAACGCGGCUCAGUUCGGAUUGCAGGCUGCAACUCGCCUGCAUGAAGUCGGAGUUGCUAGUAAACGCAGGUCAGCAUACUGCGUUGAAUAUGUUCCCGGGCCUUGUACACACCGUAGUAC